AAGGAGAUAAAGCCAAGAAAAUGAGCAGACCCAUGAUAAAAACCGGAAUAAACAAGAACAAGAACGGCGGCGGCGGUAAUGGUGGCAAAACCACCGGUAGCCGCAGAAGAGAGAGAGCAAGCAAAACCAUAAUAAGAAUAGACUUCAUAAGAAUUGAACUCAACAUCAAAUUUCAUACAAAAGAAGCACCAAAAACAUGCAUCCUUAAAAACCCAUAAUAAGUUAUUGAUGAUCUUGAUGAUGAUCAUUAUCAGAUUCAACAACUUUGGAGCUUAACAGGACUAUCCAUAGGAUAGGAGUAUGUUUUUGUUCUCU
rnacentral:misc_RNA from 1 species